rnacentral:rRNA from 1 species
AGGACGAACGCUGGCGGCGUGCUUAACACAUGCAAGUCGAGCGGAAAGGCCCUUCGGGGUACUCGAGCGGCGAACGGGUGAGUAACACGUGAGCAACCUGCCCUUAGCUCCGGGAUAGCUCCGGGAAACCGGAAUUAAUACCGGAUACGACCACGGCCGACAUCUGCUGUGGUGGAAAGGAUUCCGGCUAAGGAUGGGCUCGCGGCCUAUCAGCUAGUUGGUGGGGUAAUGGCCCACCAAGGCGACGACGGGUAGCCGGCCUGAGAGGGCGACCGGCCACACUGGGACUGAGACACGGCCCAGACUCCUACGGGAGGCAGCAGUGGGAAUAUUGCGCAAUGGGCGAAAGCCUGACGCAGCGACGCCGCGUGGGGAUGAAGGCCUUCGGGUUCGUAAACCCCUUUCAGCAGGGACGAAGCGAAAGUGACGGUACCUGCAGAAGAAGCGCCGGCUAACGUACGCGCCAGCAGCCGC